GAUGAACGCUGGCGGCGUGCCUAACACAUGCAAGUCGAACGAAUUACUUUUAAAGGAAGUUUUCGGAUGGAAUUUAAAGUAGUUAGUGGCGGACGGGUGAGUAACGCGUGGGAAACCUGCCCUAUACAGGGGGAUAGCCUCGGGAAACUGGGAUUAAUACCCCAUAAAACUCUAGUAUCGCAUGAUACAUGAGCCAAAGAUUUAUCGGUAUAGGAUGGUCCCGCGUCUGAUUAGCUAGUUGGUGAGGUAACGGCUCACCAAGGCGACGAUCAGUAGCCGGCCUGAGAGGGUGAACGGCCACACUGGAACUGAGACACGGUCCAGACUCCUACGGGAGGCAGCAGUGGGGAAUAUUGCACAAUGGGGAAACCCUGACCCAGCGACGCCGCGUGGGUGAAGAAAUCCUUCGGGAUGUAAAGCCCUGUUGUAUGGGAAGAGCGGAAGACGGUACCAUACGAGGAAGCCCCGGCAAACUACGUGCCAGCAGGCCGCGGUAAACAUACUCGUA
rnacentral:rRNA from 1 species